rnacentral:rRNA from 1 species
UGGGGAAUAUUGGACAAUGGGCGCAAGCCUGAUCCAGCCAUGCCGCGUGAGUGAUGAAGGCCCUAGGGUUGUAAAGCUCUUUCACCGGUGAAGAUAAUGACGGUAACCGGAGAAGAAGCCCCGGCUAACUUCGUGCCAGCAGCCGCGGUAAUACGAAGGGGGCUAGCGUUGUUCGGAAUUACUGGGCGUAAAGCGCACGUAGGCGGACAUUUAAGUCAGGGGUGAAAUCCCGGGGCUCAACCCCGGAACUGCCUUUGAUACUGGGUGUCUAGAGUUCGAGAGAGGUGAGUGGAAUUCCGAGUGUAGAGGUGAAAUUCGUAGAUAUUCGGAGGAACACCAGUGGCGAAGGCGGCUCACUGGCUCGAUACUGACGCUGAGGUGCGAAAGCGUGGGGAGCAAAACAGGAUUAGAUACCCUGGUAGUCCACGCCGUAAACGAUGGAAGCCAGCUGUCGGCAAGUUUACUUGUCGGUGGCGCAGCUAACGCAUUAAGCUUCCCGCCUGGGGAGUACGGUCGCAAGAUUAAAACUUAAA